GUGUGACAUUUAGAGACCAGGUAACUCUUUGCAACCCAGAGUUCAAAACCGGAUCUUCCGGUUCUGGGAAUCGGAAUCACGUGACUCUGUCUCGGGCUGAGGAUGCUUAAUCCAGUCAGACCCAUUCCGUUUGAACUCAUCACGUCAUGAGAGAAUUCGUUCUAUUUGUGGACAACUCUCAUUGUCUUGUUUCAGUUUGAUUUUUUCCCCCGACAUGGAGCCAAAAUCCGUUCUGUGCAAUUUUAAUACGCUGAUCAUCGCUCCGGCCUCCAGAGUCAAAGAAAAGAAACCCUCCUGUGAGGAAUGGACGGAUAUUUGGUUUCCACAGCUAUGAAAAUAAAUGGGAGAAACGGCCCUUAAAUUAGAAAACUGAAACCCGCAAGGACGUCAAGGGAUAAUCAAAGAUGGAGAUUGUCUUCCCCCGGGAAGAACAUUUGUUUUCCUCCGGGCUUUGAUCAGUUCAUUUUCAAAUGACCAGCAAUAGACAGUUAUAUUGACCAACUUCAAGAGUCCGACUCAAUCCACUGGAUCUUCGAUGGACUCAAGUCUCUGCAAAUGGGACCCUGUAAGAUGACCCAGCUCAAUGCUCGUUCUCAGCAAGAAGUAGUUUCAGGAAAUGACAUAAUUACCCCAUACUUCAAAAGACUUUGGGUCCCCAUUUGUUUGGGAAGGAACUAGAAAUGAACCCCAAAAUAUAUGGUGUCUGAGUGGUUUCCCUGUAAGGAAUUCAUCAGUUCUGUGAAGGGGGGAAAUUACAUAGGAUUAAUGUUACUCCUCUGAAACAAUAUUAUUUAGGACUCAGGAUGGGAGACAUCAUAUUAAGAUAUGGGCAAUAUUUCUGAGAAAGCCACCCCAUAAAAAUUCAGUUUGAUGUUUGAUAAAUUAUAAAAUUGUAGAGGCUUGACUAGCCUAGACAAGUAAGCACAAAAAGUAUUUGUGUCCUAAUAGGGAAAGAGAAUUUUAUGAAACUGACUGUCCAAUUUGGAAUAAUGCUUGAUUUGCUAUAAGGGCUGGACAUUUAGCAAAUACAGAUCAAAGAGUUAAGUUAAGAGUAUAUGCAGUAGGUAUAGAUCUCCUCGGAAGAUUUCAAUGUCUGGGUAGAAUUGGUAAAGUACUCUACAAAGAGUCUGAAUGACAAACAAUUUCUAUGUCUGUGCUAUUGAUGCGGUGCUAGUGAUAGAGAAUUGGAGUGGGGAAUCUCCUCUGGUCAGAGACGCAGAUCCAGUGUGAAAGAAUUCACAAACCUAAAAUCUGAAUGGCAGAAAAGGGAGUUUAUUGGCACUGAGAAGCUAGCUUUGCUAGGAAGACAGACUUCUUAGUGGCAAGAGGUCCUGUCAGAGAAAUAACAAAAGGUUAUCACUAAGAAGAGGAUAUCUUCACUGUGGGCAGGGGUCCUGGAAGGCAGCUUUGCUUUGUUGGCAAAGUAUAAUCCUAUUUCUGACUUCUGCAGAGAUUUGGAGCACAGAAUUGUCUUUUAUUAGGUCUGAGGUUAGGGCUUCCAUUCAAAAUUGAAUAAGAAUCCCUCAAUGCUGUUAAUGCCCCAGGCUUAGAUUUCCAGUUGAAAAGAGAGUACUUGUCUUGGAGUUUCAAGCCACUUAAUAGGACUAUCAGGUCAAAAUCUCCAACUGAAUGAGACCACUUAAGUUCAAGUUCUAGGCUAAUCUUCAACUCAGUAGAGGGUGCAACUAUAUCUCUGAUAUGAUAUGAAGGAGAUAUGAACGAGAACACUUAACUGCCCUGAAGGGUGGGUCUCUGUCAGGAGAGUUUCAGAGUUCACCCCCCAUUAUUUGCCUUAUGACCAGAUAGUACCAUUCCAUUUGGAUAUGGAAAAAACAUGAGAGUGAAUUCAAGUGCAGGAUCCUUUAGUUUCCCAAAAUAACAUUUCUGGGGAGAAUUGCAAUGCUUUGUUCUACCUUUCUCUUCUAUGAGGGAAUAAACCAGGCUAUAUUAGCCCCUUAACUCUAGAAAUCAAUCAGUUUGCCUCUCAUGGCAGAGUAAAAGAUUCCCAAAUCUGGAGAUUGUGGUGACAUGUACCUGACUCUGGAAGCGCUAACACUUUCUCAGGAAUGAAACUAGUUCAGCCUUAUGUGAUAUUGUGGAGGCAGAACGCUCAAAUCUGCUUUGCCUGGGAACUUAGUGGGCACAUGUACACCAACCCAAUUGGCUAUUCCUUUUAUCCUGGCAUUCGAAGAAGUAAGACUGAAUCAGGAAGAAUUAAGUCAAAAAUAGUAACUGAUGAAUUCAAGACUAGAAAUCUAAUUAGUUCCGGAUUUGAGUCAUUUCUCCUCUAGUGGGUAAAUAUUAUUGGAUAAGUUAUACCAGAGAGGCAGUGAAAAGAAUAGAAAAAUAAUUAGAUGCCACUAACUGAAUGGCAUGGGAAAACAGAAUGGUUCUAGAAAGGUUAUUGGCAAAAAUAAGAAAACAAUUGGAAGUAGUUUCACUUCUAAUAUACUCUUGUCAGAGGAAUUAACAGAGAAUUCAGGGAUUAAUUAUCCAUUCCUUAUCAGAUCUGUGCAGGGGUAAAAGACUCCUGUGAAGUGGAAUGUAAAAAAAUUUUAUUAGGCAAAUUUGAUAGGUUAAAAAGAAGAUGUAGAAAUCAAAUUAUUAAAAAAAAAAAA